UCUGGUGACAAUGGCAAGGAGGUCACACCUGUUCCCAUGCCGAACACAGAAGUUAAGCUCCUUAGCGCCGAUGGUAGUCGGACUAAC
rnacentral:rRNA from 1 species